rnacentral:rRNA from 1 species
CAGGUCUUGACAUCCUCUGACACUCCUAGAGAUAGGAUUUUCCCCUUCGGGGGACAGAGUGACAGGUGGUGCAUGGUUGUCGUCAGCUCGUGUCGUGAGAUGUUGGGUUAAGUCCCGCAACGAGCGCAACCCUUGAUCUUAGUUGCCAGCAUUCAGUUGGGCACUCUAAGGUGACUGCCGGUGACAAACCGGAGGAAGGUGGGGAUGACGUCAAAUCAUCAUGCCCCUUAUGACCUGGGCUACACACGUGCUACAAUGGAUGGUACAAAGGGCUGCAAAACCGUAAGGUCUAGCCAAUCCCAUAAAACCAUUCUCAGUUCGGAUUGUAGGCUGCAACUCGCCUACAUGAAGCCGGAAUCGCUAGUAAUCGCGGAUCAGCAUGCCGCGGUGAAUACGUUCCCGGGCCUUGUACACACCGCCCGUCACACCACGAGAGUUUGUAACACCCGAAGUCGGUGGGGUAACCGCAAGGGGCCAGCCGCCUAAGGUGGGACAGAUGAUUGGGGUG